rnacentral:snRNA from 1 species
AUCACCAUCUUUCGGCUGAGA